UGGGGAAUAUUGGACAAUGGGCGAAAGCCUGAUCCAGCCAUGCCGCGUGUGUGAAGAAGGUCUUCGGAUUGUAAAGCACUUUAAGUUGGGAGGAAGGGCAGUAAGCGAAUACCUUGCUGUUUUGACGUUACCGACAGAAUAAGCACCGGCUAACUCUGUGCCAGCAGCCGCGGUAAUACAGAGGGUGCAAGCGUUAAUCGAAAUUACUGGGCGUAAAGCGCGCGUAGGUGGUUCGUUAAGUUGAAUGUGAAAGCCCCGGGCUCAACCUGGGAACUGCAUCCAAAACUGGCGAGCUAGAGUAGAGCAGAGGGUGGUGGAAUUUCCUGUGUAGCGGUGAAAUGCGUAGAUAUAGGAAGGAACACCAGUGGCGAAGGCGACCACCUGGGCUCAUACUGACACUGAGGUGCGAAAGCGUGGGGAGCAAACAGG
rnacentral:rRNA from 1 species